rnacentral:rRNA from 1 species
GAUGAACGCUGGCGGCGUGCCUAAUACAUGCCAGUCGAGCGAACGGACGAGAAGCUUGCUUCUCUGAUGUUAGCGGCGGACGGGUGAGUAACACGUGGAUAACCUACCUAUAAGACUGGGAUAACUUCGGGAAGCCGGAGCUAAUACCGGAUGAUAUUUUGAACCGCAUGGUUCAAAAGUGAAAGACGGUCUUGCUGUCACUUAUAGAUGGAUCCGCGCUGCAUUAGCUAGUUGGUAAGGUAACGGCUUACCAAGGCAACGAUGCAUAGCCGACCUGAGAGGGUGAUCGGCCACACUGGAACUGAGACACGGUCCAGACUCCUACGGGAGGCAGCAGUAGGGAAUCUUCCGCAAUGGGCGAAAGCCUGACGGAGCAACGCCGCGUGAGUGAUGAAGGUCUUCGGAUCGUAAAACUCUGUUAUUAGGGAAGAACAUAUGUGUAAGUAACUGUGCACAUCUUGACGGGACCUAAUCAGAAAGCCACGGCUAACUACGU